GACGAACGCUGGCGGCGUGCUUAACACAUGCAAGUCGAACGGAAAGGCCCUGCUUUUGUGGGGUGCUCGAGUGGCGAACGGGUGAGUAACACGUGAGUAACCUGCCCUUGACUUUGGGAUAACUUCAGGAAACUGGGGCUAAUACCGGAUAGGAGCUCCUGCUGCAUGGUGGGGGUUGGAAAGUUUCGGCGGUUGGGGAUGGACUCGCGGCUUAUCAGCUUGUUGGUGGGGUAGUGGCUUACCAAGGCUUUGACGGGUAGCCGGCCUGAGAGGGUGAGCGGCCACAUUGGGACUGAGAGACGGCCCAGACUCCUACGGGAGGCAGCAGUGGGGAAUAUUGCACAAUGGGCGGAAGCCUGAUGCAGCAACGCCGCGUGCGGGAUGACGGCCUUCGGGUUGUAAACCGCUUUCGCCUGUGACGAAGCGUGAGUGACGGUAAUGGGUAAAGAAGCACCGGCUAACUACGUG
rnacentral:rRNA from 1 species